rnacentral:tRNA from 12 species
CUAGGUAGCAAAGUACGUAAUGCAAUAGAUCGCAAAUCCAUAUACAUUGGUUCGAUUCCAGUCCUAG